CAGAACCCGAGAAGCCAAUCCACCACUGCACCAGUAAUCCAGUAAAAUUGGCAACUAGGGAAGGUUCAUCGAGAGCUCCAAACACUCACACGGGGAAGAAAAAAACAAAGAAAAGCGGCAAACAAGUUUCGGCUUGGUACCAAAAAGUCAAACCUGAAGAUGAGCAAGCUUUGGCGGAAGCCCGGAAACGUUACGAAGCUCAAGGUGCGAUUCCCAAGAAUUUUUACAGCACUUUUGGGGCUUCUGGCCAAAAAAACGCGGCAUCCGCAAAAGAUGAAGAACAACCCGGGCCAAGCUCUUCAAGAACAAGCGAGGAAGAACUCGAAGAUUUGCAAGCAAAAGAAGC